AACUUUCAGCAACGGAUCUCUUGGCUCUCGCAUCGAUGAAGAACGCAGCGAAAUGCGAUAAGUAAUGUGAAUUGCAGAAUUCAGUGAAUCAUCGAAUCUUUGAACGCACCUUGCACUCCUUGGUAUUCCGAGGAGUAUGCCUGUUUGAG
rnacentral:rRNA from 5 species